GGCUGGCGGCGGCUCCCCGCGCGUUUCCCCCUGCGGCCGCGCCCAGCUAGGAGCGGAGGGCGUGCGCGAUGGCCGGGGGCGUGCGCGAUGGCCGGGGGCCCGCCGAGGGCUGAGCUGAGCUCGCUCCCCUCCGCGGGGCUUGCGAGGGACCCUGGGAGACCGGCGUCCCUGAACCUCCACCCAAACCCCGGCGGGCGGCUGCAGCCCGGCUCCGGUCGGCCCUCUGUCCCUGCGUUUCUCCCACAGCAGUGACCGUCGCCUUCCCUUGCUGCAGUCCCGCCUUACAGACGUCCCAAACGGAUUUGCAGAAGAGAUCCGGACGUGCAUUUUGGAAUCUACACGCGCGGACAACUCACAACCUGAGCACACUGCUGCGCCGCGGAGACCGGCUGGUCGGCCCUUGGCCGGGGGUGUGCUGCCAUCUGGUGGCGCCGGCCGCCUGUGUGCGCCAAGCCCCUCCGGAGCCCCUCGGCAGCUGACAGAUCCACCGGCGCCCCAGGGACCUCGUACUUAGCACCCAUCACGCCGCCCGUCUGCCCUCCCUCUGAAUUUACCUCCUUCCCCUCAAUUAGUCCUGUGUCAUGUCCCGUUAUCCCGGGAGCUGUGCACUGUGCACUGCCCUGGUCCGUUAACCUCACCCGCUCUCUGUCGCAGCUACCAGCAGGUGGCGCUAGUCCCUCUGCCUGGGGUCCCUUUCCCUGUUGCCCUCAGCGGGUGCCUUACAGGAAUCCGUUCUUAAGAUGAAGACCAAACGGUUUACUGUCAACUCAGGUUUCUGUGUGUGGUUCUUUACAUUAUAAUUACUCAAUCACAUUAACUGUAUAAAUUAAUGGGUUUCACUGUGACAUUUCUAUACAUGCACUGUGUAUGAUUCAAACCAACCCACGUGGCUUAACCUGAUUAAAAUUAUGAGUAUAGGUUGUUUUUAAAGCAGCCGAGCGGAGAAUUUCGGAGGAGAGACAUGCAUCAUGUAGCAUUUGGUUCCAGCCCUGCAGCCCUCGGCCCUGUGGCUCCCCUGCUCUGUGACACUCAGCGGGUUGAUUGCUGUUUGUGUCCCCAGCCAGAGGUUUCCAUCCAG
rnacentral:lncRNA from 1 species